rnacentral:tRNA from 1 species
GCAGCUCAGCGUUACAGCAUCUGCUUGGCAUGCAGAAGGUCUCAGGUUCAAUUCCUGGUAUCUCCA